AGACCCGAAACCCGGUGAUCUAGCCAUGGGCAGGUUGAAGGUUGGGUAACACUAACUGGAGGACCGAACCGACUAAUGUUGAAAAAUUAGCGGAUGACCUGUGGCUGGGGGUGAAAGGCCAAUCAAACCGGGAGAUAGCUGGUUCUCCCCGAAAGCUAUUUAGGUAGCGCCUCGUGAAUUCAUCUCCGGGGGUAGAGCACUGUUUCGGCUAGGGGGCCAUCCCGGCUUACCAACCCGAUGCAAACUGCGAAUACCGGAGAAUGUUAUCACGGGAGACACACGGCGGGUGCUAACGUCCGUCGUGAAGAGGGAAACAACCCAGACCGCCAGCUAAGGUCCCAAAGUCAUGGUUAAGUGGGAAACGAUGUGGGAAGGCCCAGACAGCCAGGAUGUUGGCUUAGAAGCAGCCAUCAUUUAAAGAAAGCGUAAUAGCUCACUGGUCGAGUCGGCCUGCGCGGAAGAUGUAACGGGGCUAAACCAUGCACCGAAGCUGCGGCAGCGACACUGUGUGUUGUUGGGUAGGGGAGCGUUCUGUAAGCCUGUGAAGGUGUGUCGUGAGGCAUGCUGGAGGUAUCAGAAGUGCGAAUGCUGACAUAAGUAACGAUAAAGCGGGUGAAAAGCCCGCUCGCCGGAAGACCAAGGGUUCCUGUCCAACGUUAAUCGGGGCAGGGUGAGUCGACCCCUAAGGCGAGGCCGAAAGGCGUAGUCGAUGGGAAACGGGUUAAUAUUCCCGUACUUGGUGUUACUGCGAAGGGGGGACGGAGAAGGCUAUGUUGGCCGGGCGACGGUUGUCCCGGUUUAAGCGUGUAGGUGUGUGUUCCAGGUAAAUCCGGUUCACUUUAACACUGAGGCGUGACGACGAGGCACUACGGUGCUGAAGCAACAAAUGCCCUGCUUCCAGGAAAAGCCUCUAAGCAUCAGGUAACAUCAAAUCGUACCCCAAACCGACACAGGUGGUCAGGUAGAGAAUACCAAGGCGCUUGAGAGAACUCGGGUGAAGGAACUAGGCAAAAUGGUGCCGUAACUUCGGGAGAAGGCACGCUGACACGUAGGUGAAGUGAUUUACUCAUGGAGCUGAAGUCAGUCGAAGAUACCAGCUGGCUGCAACUGUUUAUUAAAAACACAGCACUGUGCAAACACGAAAGUGGACGUAUACGGUGUGACGCCUGCCCGGUGCCGGAAGGUUAAUUGAUGGGGUCAGCGCAAGCGAAGCUCCUGAUCGAAGCCCCGGUAAACGGCGGCCGUAACUAUAACGGUCCUAAGGUAGCGAAAUUCCUUGUCGGGUAAGUUCCGACCUGCACGAAUGGCGUAAUGAUGGCCAGGCUGUCUCCACCCGAGACUCAGUGAAAUUGAACUCGCUGUGAAGAUGCAGUGUACCCGCGGCAAGACGGAAAGACCCCGUGAACCUUUACUAUAGCUUGACACUGAACAUUGAGCCUUGAUGUGUAGGAUAGGUGGGAGGCUUUGAAGUGUGGACGCCAGUCUGCAUGGAGCCGACCUUGAAAUACCACCCUUUAAUGUUUGAUGUUCU
rnacentral:rRNA from 1 species